rnacentral:RNase_P_RNA from 1 species
GAUCGCGGCCCGGUUCCGGUAACGGUUUCCGGGGUGAGGAAAGUCCGGGCUUCACAGGGCAGGAUGCCGGAUAACGUCCGGUGGAGGCGACUCCAAGGAUAGUGCAACAGAAAUGUACCGCCAGCUUCUGACGAUGUCAGAACUGGUAAGGGUGGAAGGGCAGUGUAAGAGACUACCGCCUCACUGGUAACAGGGAGGGCAUAUGUAAACCCCAUCCGAAGCAAGACCGAAUCAAAGCGUUUACGUGGCCCGCCAGCUUUAGGUAGGUUGCUUGAGGUGGCUGGCGACAGUCAUCCUAGAUAGAUGAUCAUUCUCCCGCCUUUGGCGGGACGACAUAACCCGGCUUAUCGUCUUGCUUAU